rnacentral:rRNA from 1 species
CCCAGACUCCUACGGGAGGCAGCAGUGGGGGAUAUUGCACAAUGGAGGAAACUCUGAUGCAGCGACGCCGCGUGAGGGAAGACGGUCUUCGGAUUGUAAACCUCUGUCUUUGGGGAAGAAAAUGACGGUACCCAAAGAGGAAGCUCCGGCUAACUACGUGCCAGCAGCCGCGGUAAUACGUAGGGAGCGAGCGUUGUCCGGAAUUAUUGGGUUUAAAGGGUGCGUAGGCGGAAUGCCAAGUCAGCGGUAAAAUCGCGGGGCUCACCCUCGCUCCGCCGUUGAAACUGGCGUUCUUGAGUGGGCGAGAAGUAUGCGGAAUGCGUGGUGUAGCGGUGAAAUGCAUAGAUAUCACGCAGAACUCCGAUUGCGAAGGCAGCAUACCGGCGCCCAACUGACGCUGAAGCACGAAAGCGUGGGUAUCGAACAGGAUUAGAUACCCUGGUAUA